rnacentral:rRNA from 1 species
GUGACAGCAGCCGCGGUAAUACAGAGGUCCCAAGCGUUGUUCGGAUUCACUGGGCGUAAAGGGUGCGCAGGUGGCUCGGUAAGUUUGGUGUGAAAGCUCAGGGCUUAACCCUGAAAUGGCAUUGAAUACUAUUGGGCUGGAGGUUUGGAGGGGGGACUGGAAUUCUCUGUGUAGCAGUGAAAUGCGUAGAUAUCGAGAGGAACACCAGUGGCGAAGGCGAGUCCCUGGACAACACCUGACACUGAGGCACGAAAGCUAGGGGAGCAAACAGGAUUAGAUACCCGAGUAGUCC